rnacentral:rRNA from 1 species
AACGAACGCUGGCGGCAUGCCUAACACAUGCAAGUCGAACGAGACCUUCGGGUCUAGGGGCGCACGGGUGCGUAACACGUGGGGAUCUUCCCUUUGCUUCGGCAUAACAGUUAGAAAUGACUGCUAAUACCGGAUGAUGUCUAAAGACCAAAGAUUUAUCGGCAAAGGAUGAGCCCGCGUAGGAUUAGGUGGUUGGUAUGGUAAAGGCUUACUAAGCCGUGGAUCCUUAGCUGGUCUGAGAGAAUGGUCAGCGACUCUGAGACUAAGACACGGCCGAGACUCCUACGCGAUGGGGCAGUGCCUGAUAUUGCACAGUGGGGGAAAGGAUGAUGCUGCACUGACGGGUGAGUUAUGAAAGUCGUGGAGAUGUAAUGCUCAAUUACCAGGGAUGAUAAUGACAGUACCUGAAGAAUAAGCUCCGGCUAACUCCGUG